rnacentral:rRNA from 1 species
CCUACGGGAGGCAGCAGUGGGGAAUAUCGGACAAUGGGCGCAAGCCUGAUCCAGCCAUGCCGCGUGAGUGAUGAAGGCCCUAGGGUUGUAAAGCUCUUUUGUCCGGGAAGAUAAUGACUGUACCGGAAGAAUAAGCCCCGGCUAACUUCGUGCCAGCAGCCGCGGUAAU